rnacentral:rRNA from 1 species
AUUGAACGCUGGCGGCAGGCCUAACACAUGCAAGUCGAGCGAGCGGCGGACGGGUGAGUAAUGUAUGGGGACUGCCCGAUAGAGGGGGAUAACUACUGGAAACGGUGGCUAAUACCGCAUACUAGUGGAUAACCCAUAUGGUAUUAGCUAGUCGGGGGGGUACAGGAUAACCUAGGCGACGAUCUCUAGCUGGUCUGAGAGGAUGAUCAGCCACACUGGGACUGAGACACGGCCCAGAGUCCGACGGAGGCAGCAGUGGGGAAGAGUGCACAAUGGGCGAAAGCCUGAUGCAGCCAUGCCGCGUGUAUGAAGAAGGCCUUAGGGUGGUAAAGUACUUUCAGCGGGGAGGCGUUACCCGCAGAAGAAGCACCGGCUAACUCCGGGCCAGUCGCCGCGGUAAUAC